UUUCUCUCAAUCAAACAAACAAAAUGAUCGGCAUAUAUACUGUCUAAAUCUGAUUCUUUAAUGCAACAUUCUUAGAUUUAUGCACUUAUUCACAGUUAUUACCUCUUCUAAAAAUAAAAAAAAUAAAAAAAAUAAAUAUUGACAGUGGAUAGCAUUUUAAGUAAUUUAGCUUAUUUAUAGAGUUUCAUGAAGAGAUGGUUUCUUGAACAAAGUGGAAAUGUUUUUUGUUCUGUCUUGGCAGAUUCUAAUUCCAUGAUACUUGAUAAGCGAAAUUAGUUUGUAAUUGGUUCUUUCCGCCUAUGAAACUAGGAAAACAAGAAACAAAUUACAAUCGGAUGCCACUUUUUAAAAGGAUAUACAAUCAGCCUUUUAUUUUGCCGGUUUUAAAUCAGUUACCUACUUGCUUUGCAGGACUUUUGUGGGCACAAACUUAAAUCCUUUGUGGGAAAGAUUCCUGGUUCGAUCAGAAGGUAUUACUGCAGGAAUUAGUACAUUUUUCUCAAUGAGCUUCCAUUAUUUUUCUCAUUUUUGUCUUUCGCACACCCACAAACUUGAGUCCCUGAUCAUCUUUAAUAUUUUCUCCUGUUGGAAUCCUGAGCAUUUGGUAAAAUUAAUGAUAAUGAAGCCUUACAAUGGGUAAAUUCAACUCAGAAGGCAUAUAAUUAUUCACUUGGUUCGUAAAUUUCUUUGACGUUUAUAGCUUUGCUUGUCUGUAGAUGAUGCCAUACGUUGUCAACACACCUCAAGUCCAUUGGGUAAUGGUGCUAUUGUGGAGACAUCUGACAAGAAAAUACUAGUGUUGCAAAGAAGUAACAAUGUCGGGGAGUUUCCCGGACACUUUGUAUUCCCAGGAGGCCAUCCAGAGGUAUCAUAACUGAAACAAAAAUAGUUUGCGACCACAUUUUUAGCUGCAUUGUGAGAUUUCAUCGUUGCCUAUAUAUGCUUGCCACACAUUAUCUAGAUCAUUUCUAACUUUUUUUUCAUCCUUGUAGUAAUGAUAAGAAGGUUAUUCUAUUGCUUUAUCCUUUGGGUUUUCUCGACCUCUAAUUCCAUAAUGUUUGAUGAUUAACAGCCCCACGAAGUUGGAAUAAUAUCCCAUCACCAUAAAGACGUGACAGACUCCAAAGCUAUUAAUAACAAAGUUUCUCAGGAGAUGUUUGAGAGCAUUGUUCGUGAGGUAGUUGAAGAAAUCGGAGUACCUUCAGCUUCCCUUGUAAGUACAUCUGUAUGUUUGUUUCCUAAUUGUUCAUUACACAUUUUAUGCGUCUUUCCCGCUCACGAUGAGUUUUAUUUACUGUAUUGGUGAUGUGGAACAGAAGUGGUGGCUGCCCUAAAUUAAAGGGUGUUUAAGUCUGUUACUCUCUAGGGUUUUAGUAUUUUAGUAUCUGGUUUUAGUUAUUUGAUUUCCUACCUUUACGAGGAUUAAGAUUACUUCCAGUUUCAUUGGGAUUAGAUUUAGUUUCCUAAUAUCCCUUGUAAUUCCAAUAGUUGUAUGGGAUUAUUUUGUUGAGAUGACAAAAUUCUUGGUGAGAGGCCAAGAACGGGUGUGACGCCCCUGGAGCGAUUCUAGUUAUCUUUUAUGUUUGUUUUAGUUAAAGUUGAACUAUCUAAAUUAUGCUGUCUGCACCAAUCGGACUCUCUAGGUUUAAGGCAUUUUAUUAUCCAACGAUAAUAAACUUUUUCUUUUGAUACUACUUAGUAACUCCUCUCCUCUCUGACUAAAAAGUAUCUAAUGUUACUCAUUUGGCCAUAAUGCAGCAUGAGCAAGUUUUUAUCGGUCUAUCCCGCAGGGAGCUUAAUGUGAGACCAACUGCAUUUUUCUUCAUGAAAUGCAGUCUCAGCUCAAAGGAGAUUCCAAAACUGUAUUCUAGUGCCCAAGACAGCUUUGAAUCAACUCAGCUCUUUACAGUUCCAAUGGUAAGUUCAAACUUUUAUCGGACAGAGAUGCACCAUCAUGUAUGUAUUUUCUAAACAAUUGUUUGCAUUAGAACUCUUUCGUUUACUUAUUUGUUAAUAUUCAAUUCACGGUCAAUGAUGGUAGAAGAAUGGCAAGAGGUAAUUGUGCGGUAAUGUUGUUUGCGAGCUAUGGUGAUACUGUUUGAAACAUGGUUGAAUAGUGAUGCAAACUUAUGGGGACUUUGUGACGAGACACUAAUCUUCCUCAUUAACAGCAAAACAAGUUGAGAUGAAUAACAAUGCCUUGCUUUUUGUGAAGCAAAUUACAAUAGACCACUCAUGAAUCUCAACUUCCGUUUUGAGUUUCAAUGCAAAUCUCAUGAAAUUUUCUUUAUACCAGAUUGAAUUAGAGAACAUGGCGUCGAAAAUGCCAGGCUGCCAUGAAGGUGGAUUCGCGUUGUAUAAGAUGAUGGUUGAAGCCGUGAAGAAUGUUUGAUGGAAGAUCUGCUCAUAUCUCUCAGUCGUUAGUGUCUCGGCAGCUUUCAGUAACACUUCUAAGGCUCGGACUCCCUUUCUUUGUUAUUAGCGAUUCGGUACAAAAACAGAUAACCUUGCUUGUUGUACUCAGUUUCAUACAUAUGCUUGUAAAACAUGAUUUAUUUUUAAUCACAGUUAAUUUGAAUUACAGUCGCAGUUAAUUUGAAUUACAGUUACUUGUCAUCAACUUGUUAUCACCAAUAGUGGUAAACAUAUUUUACAAUCUGUGAUAUAUGGUUUUAUUUUAAUUGGUUAAAUUGCAGCAACGGUCCCUUUUCAUUUGGAUUUUCGCUUUCGUCCUUGUAGUUUUUUUGUUGCAUUUUGUAGUGAAACCGAAUGAAACCACGAGACGAACGUGCAACAAAGAAAUACUGCAAAAUCGAAAGUGAAAAUCCGAGCAAACUAUAGGAUGGAUAAUUCUUAUGAGGGAUUCAUGCCGAUAAUUUUUCCCGGUUACAAUUCGUGUUGGAUUUAAGUACAUUGGUAAAAGCUUCCGUCAGAUGAUCUGUGUUUUUACUGCGAUUUACCUCUGAGACUUUAGCAGCAAGGUAAAAACUAAAAAGUGCCCAUUUCUGGAGAGUAGGUGCCUAGGUGGAGUCCAUGAAGAAGGCUAGGCAAAGGGGUAAGAGUAUCUUGUCUUAUAAUUGCCCUAUCACUAUUUUUCCCACUUGACCAGAUGCAUUGUUUAUGAUCCAUUUUUCUGUUGCCUCUUCUCUUCUUUUCGCUUUAUGGGUUUGGGUGCAUUGCCAUUUGGUGUCAUUAUUAAUGAAACAAGGAUAUGUGGACAAAAAAUGUGCACGUUUCUAUUGACACAAGACGCUACCGUAGCAGUAUGCUCACGUCAUGUGUGGUAUACAUUGUAUAGGCUGCUGAUCUUUAUAAUUUAUUUUCUUUUCAUCCUUUCAAUUUUGGCAAUGUUUGUCUUGUAAUUUUGUUUGGUUUGUGAUCAAGUUCAACUAUACAUAACUGCAAGACUACGGAGACGUUUGAUAAUUAUUUCGUUUUUAAUUUUUAGUAUUUAAUUUUUACUUUUCUGAAAAAUGAAAACUUUGGUAAUUACUUUUAGUUUUCAAGUUUCAGAAAAAUAAAACCUUAAAGACAAAACUAGAAACUCAAGGCCAAGUUUUGAAAACUCAAGAAAGUGGUUUUCAUUUUUUGGUUUUGAAGUUUCGUUUUUUCUGAAAAACGAAAGUAGUUACCCAAUUUCAGAAUUCAAAUAAGUAAAAACAAAAUAAUUAUCAAGCGGUCUCAAAUAUUAUCAUAAUUAAAACAUGUAUCAAAAUAAGUAGAUGAAACGACUUGGAUAUAUUAACCGACACAUUCUAUUUAUCGGAGCUUAGAAAAAUUUUGCAACCUACACGUGUACAUGAACAAAAAUUGCAAUUGGGCUAAUAAUCGAUCCAUAUAUAAAAUUGCAAGGGGAACUUUAACGAAAAGUAUCUGGUACUGUUCACUUUAACAAAAAAUCACAUUUUUACACUAAAAAGUCAAUCAUGGUACUAUUCACUUUACCUUUUAUUUUGUCCUUAUCAUUAAAACUCAAAGUUUUCAAGCCCUUUUCAUUAAUUUUCCUAAUUGCAAGACCUAGAAGCUUUCCAAGUUGCACUGCUUUGACCGGAAAACUGGACACUUCAGUUUAGACCCACAGUAGUGUGUACGAAAAAAGUGCUGAUAGACAUAAAUGACAAUGAAAGCAAGCCGUAUUUGGUGAGUCAAUGAUGGCGAAAGCAAAAGACCAAGUCAAUACAAAUUUUAAUAAAAAUAUAAACCAUACGUUAUAUUACUAGAUAAGCAUAUGAUGUUUACGUGCAGCAUUUCAAGAAAUUUCACUGUAACACAAUAUCACGUAACAUCUUUAAUUUGUCUUGUAAUAUAAGUCAAAGAAAAUUGUAGCAAUCGUUUUUUAAUUUUAACUCAAUUGAAGCAAUAAUUCAUCAACUAAAAAUAUGUGAUAAUUGGUCCUUAAGUCAUGAAAACGUGCAGUUAUAAUCCAUUUCGUCAGGACCGUCAGAACUUCUGUCAAAAUGAGUCAUAUUAAAAUAUUCAUUGCUACAAUCGGAUUAAAUUUGAGGAACCAUUUAUUCAAUUGUGUUUAAGUUGAGGGAUUAUUUAUCUUAAUUGGGUGAAAGUUGAGAGACAAUUGCUAUAAUUUUCUUAUUUGAUUUUUCAUAUUUUCUCCUUGAUUUAGCCUCACGUACGUGGCACGUGACUCAUUUUAGCAGAAUUUUUAACGAAGUUGAAAAUAAAAAGACCAUAGUUGCAUGUUUUGAUGAGUUAAGUAAGAGACCAAUAAUCACAUCUUUUAAUUGAAAGAGUAUUGCUCUAAUUUGAUUAAAGUUAAGAAAACAUUACUACAUUUUCCUUUAUAAAUAAAUAAUAACAAUAUUUAUCAUGAGCGUUAAUUAUCAAUUAAAAAAUAUAUAUGAUGUAGCGAUGCACAGGCACACCGAAAAUUUUCUGUCUUUAUAUCUCCUCAAUGAGAAAGAAUGACAUCAACAUUUUUGGUGCACUAAUUAUUACACAGAUUCCCAAAUGGGCACCAAUUAGGGGUGAAGGCUGGACUGUUUGGACCAGCACGUGCAAAACACACGUGCGGAAAAUUAUUCUUCAUUGUUCUAUAUAAAAAAGGGAUGGGAUAUUCACACACCCAUUUUUAUUUCUCUCACACAUUUUUAAUUUUCAACCGUCCGAUCGGAUGAAUUGAAGAAGAUCAAAUGACAAAAAUUAACAAGAGGUGUGAAAGAAAUAAAAAGGGAUGUGUGGAUAGCACAUCCCAUAAAAAAUAAAACCACUUAUAGCGAGAAAUUUCGAAUACAAUCAGUUCAGAAAGCAUUUCAAGCCUCCGAGGGCAAGGAAUUAUUAUACGUUUGUGGUGCAGAACAUGCUUGUGAGUUAUAAGUGUUCAUUAAGGAAUAUCCAGAAAGACAUUUAGAGAAUCGGUCUGAUUCUAUCUCUGUUCGUUCCGUUUGACAAAAAGAAGGAUCCCAAAGAAUCGAUAUUUUUUUUUAGUUGUUGAAUCUUUUUUGAUUGAUCAAUGUGUGAUAUUCUGAAAACUAUAUUUUAGUUUUACUAAGUAGCUGAGGUGGUCUGUGAUUGGGUUUAGGGGAACAAACAAACACCCAAACAGUGCUUUUCCCUGCGUAUAAUUAUAACAUAAUCUAGCACAAGAUUACAUUUAUAUAAAAAUAUAUUGUAUUUUUUUUUCCUUUAAUUUUGGCCUUUGUGAUUUAAAUAAACAAUUAAUUGGUUAUGUAUUUACCACCAAUUAUGCAGCUUUCUGUGCUUCCUUCGAUACUAAGUACUUGUAUUUUUAUUUUCUUUUUCUUUUUAAAAAGGUGGAAAAUUAUGAUUUCUGCUGGCCAUCAGUGACUUGUAUAUUAAAGAGAUUCUGCUUCAUUUCUUCUUUAUUUUUGUAUCUCUAUGUUAUAAUUUCUUUGGUUAUGGAUCAUGAGUAGGAUUCUUUUCCCUCUUAUUCCUAUCUAUUUUCUUACCCUUCUCGCAUAUUUUCUUGCAUCAACAGUAUGGACAACAUGUCUGGAAUGGUGGAGGUGGAUCUAACCAAGAGCCUCACGUGUGCCUCCACCUUGGUCUGACAGAUUAUAGGUCUCUCUCUCUCUCAAUCAAACAAACAAAUGAUCGGCAUAUAUACUAUUGUCUAAAUCUGAUUCUUCAAUGCAACAUUUUUAGAUUUAUGCGCUUAUUCACAGUUAUUACCUCUUCUAAAAAUAAAAUAAAAUAAAAUAUUGACGGUGGAGCAUUUUAAGUAAUUUAGCUUAUUUAUACAGUUUCAUGAAGAGAUGGUUUCUUGAACAAAGUGGAAAUGUUUUUUAUUCUGUCUUGGCAGAUUCUAAUUCCAUGAUACUUGAUAAGCGAAAUUAGUUUGUAAUUGGUUCCUCCUAUGAAACUAGGAAAACAAGAAACAAAUUACAAUCGGAUGCCACUUUUUAAAAGGAUAUACAAUCAGCCUUUUAUUUUGCUGGUUUUAAAUCAGUUACCUACUUGCUUUGCAGGACUUUUGUGGGCACAAACUUAAAUCCCUUGUGGGAAAGAUUCCUGGUUAGAUCAGAAGGUAUUACUGCAGGAAUUAGUACAUUUUUAGCUGCAUUGUGAGAUUUCAUCGUUGCCUAUAUAUGCUUGCCACACAUUAUCUAGAUCAUUUCAAACUUUUUUUUUAUCCUUGUAAGUACGUGACAGACUCCAAAGCUAUUAACAACAAAGUUUCUCAGGAG
rnacentral:lncRNA from 1 species